AUUGAACGCUGGCGGCAGGCCUAACACAUGCCAGUCGAGCGGAUGAAGGGAGCUUGCUCCUGGAUUCAGCGGCGGACGGGUGAGUAAUGCCUAGGAAUCUGCCUGGUCUUGGGGGAUAACGUCCGGACACGGGCGCUAAUACCGCAUACGUCCUGAGGGAGAAAGUGGGGGAUCUUCGGACCUCACGCUAUCAGAUGAGCCUAGGUCGGAUUAGCUAGUUGGUGAGGUAAAGGCCUACCAAGGCGACGAUCCGUAACUGGUCUGAGAGGAUGAUCAGUCACACUGGAACUGAGACACGGUCCAGACUCCUACGGGAGGCAGCAGUGGGGAAUAUUGGACAAUGGGCGAAAGCCUGAUCCAGCCAUGCCGCGUGUGUGAAGAAGGUCUUCGGAUUGUAAAGCACUUUAAGUUGGGAGGAAGGGCAGUAAGUUAAUACCUUGCUGUUUUGACGUUACCAACAGAAUAAGCACCGGCUAACUUCGUG
rnacentral:rRNA from 1 species